rnacentral:rRNA from 1 species
CACGUAGGGGACGAGCGUUGUCCGGAUUCAUUGGGCGUAAAGCGCGCGUAGGCGGCUCGGAAAGUCGGGUGUGAAAGCCCGGGGCUCAACCCCGGGACUGCAUCCGAUACUUCCGGGCUGGAGGUAGGUAGGGGAGAUCGGAAUUCCUGGUGUAGCGGUGAAAUGCGCAGAGAUCAGGAGGAACACCGGUGGCGAAGGCGGAUCUCUGGGCCUUACCUGACGAUGAGGCGCGAAAGAUAGGGGAGCGAACAGG